rnacentral:rRNA from 1 species
CCUACGGGUGGCAGCAGUGAGGAAUAUUGGUCAAUGGACGAGAGUCUGAACCAGCCAAGUAGCGUGAAGGAUGACUGCCCUAUGGGUUGUAAACUUCUUUUAUAAAGGAAUAAAACGAGGCACGUGUGCCUUUUUGCAUGUACUUUAUGGAUAAGGAUCGGCUAACUCCGUGCCAGCAGCCGCGGUAAUACGGAGGAUCCGAGCGUUAUCCGGAUUUAUGGGGUUUAAAGGGAGCGUAGAUGGGUUGUUAAGUCAGUUGUGAAAGUUUGCGGCUCAACCGUAAAAUUGCAAUUGAUACUGGUAGUCUUGAGUACAGUUGAGGUAAGCGGAAUUCGUGGUGUAGCGGUGAAAUGCUUAGAUAUCACGAAGAACCCCGAUUGCGAAGGCAGCUUACUAAACUGUGACUGACAUUGAUGCUCGAAAGUGUGGGUAUCAAACAGGAUUAGAUACCCUUGUAGUC